UCUUGAUCUUACAGAACAAG
rnacentral:piRNA from 1 species